GAUGAACGCUGGCGGCGUGCUUAACACAUGCAGGUCGAACGGAAAGGCUCCUGCUUGCAGGGGUACUCGAGUGGCGAACGGGUGAGUAACACGUGGGUGAUCUGCCCUGCACUUCGGGAUAAGCCUGGGAAACUGGGUCUAAUACCGGAUAGGACGAUGGUUUGGAUGCCAUUGUGGAAAGUUUUUUCGGUGUGGGAUGAGCUCGCGGCCUAUCAGCUUGUUGGUGGGGUAAUGGCCUACCAAGGCGUCGACGGGUAGCCGGCCUGAGAGGGAGUACGGCCACAUUGGGACUGAGAUACGGCCCAGACUCCUACGGGAGGCAGCAGUGGGGAAUAUUGCACAAUGGGCGCAAGCCUGAUGCAGCGACGCCGCGUGGGGGAUGACGGCCUUCGGGUUGUAAACUCCUUUCGCUAGGGACGAAGCGCAAGCGACGGUACCUGGAGAAGAAGCACCGGCUAACUACGUG
rnacentral:rRNA from 1 species